GGAAGUAAAAGUCGUAACAAGGUCUCCGUUGGUGAACCAGCGGAGGGAUCAUUACCGAGUUUACAACUCCCAAACCCCUGUGAACAUACCUUAAUGUUGCCUCGGCGGAUCAGCCCGCGCCCCGUAAAACGGGACGGCCCGCCAGAGGACCCAAACUCUAAUGUUUCUUAUUGUAACUUCUGAGUAAAACAAACAAAUAAAUCAAAACUUUCAACAACGGAUCUCUUGGUUCUGGCAUCGAUGAAGAACGCAGCAAAAUGCGAUAAGUAAUGUGAAUUGCAGAAUUCAGUGAAUCAUCGAAUCUUUGAACGCACAUUGCGCCCGCUGGUAUUCCGGCGGGCAUGCCUGUUCGAGCGUCAUUUCAACCCUCAAGCCCCCGGGUUUGGUGUUGGGGAUCGGCUCUGCCCUUCUGGGCGGUGCCGCCCCCGAAAUACAUUGGCGGUCUCGCUGCAGCCUCCAUUGCGUAGUAGCUAACACCUCGCAACUGGAACGCGGCGCGGCCAUGCCGUAAAACCCCAACUUCUGAAUGUUGACCUCGGAUCAGGUAGGAAUACCCGCUGAACUUAAGCAUAUCAAUAAGCGGAGGA
rnacentral:rRNA from 1 species